AUUCAUCAAGAGCGAAGGAACGAUGCACUUGGUGCGGGGGAGGGAGAGUUGUGGGGGCGAAGAAUCAUCCUCGCACAUCCUGGACGAGAUAAUCGAUCGAGACUCAAGACGAGUGCGAUUCAAAUGCCAUUUCACGCCCAUCCGUCAAGAAAUGAACAGUCCCUCGCUUUCUGGAUAUGCAAAAAAUCGAUUGAAGCGCGAUCCUACUAAUCGUUGUAAUCGGAAAUCGAUCGUGGUACCAUCGCUUAAUUAUGAAGUAGAAAAAUCCGCAAGCGAUCAUCAGUGUUUCAGCAACUUUACCAUGACGCCAACGACUCUGUUUUGAAAGACAAUAACGUCAUCGUUUGACACUCUGACCGUCUCUCGUGUCGUUCACCUCGACGAAAUAACAUCUCACCUUCAUGAUCUUUCGAGUGGCGAGGAAAACAGCCUUGGCGUUAUAUCUCGUAUGGUAUUAAUACUUCGCUUACAGCAUCCAGUAAAAACAGAAAUUUAACAACAAACAACAUGACCAUUUUUGCUUCAAUAAGCGCCAGUAAAAUGAAUAAAUUUUGAGUAUAUAAUUAACAAUUCGAACAAA